rnacentral:rRNA from 1 species
AUUGAACGCUGGUGGCAGGCCUAACACAUGCAAGUCGAACGAGUGGCGGACGGGUGAGUAAUGUCUGGGAAACUGCCUGAUGGAGGGGGAUAACUACUGGAAACGGUAGCUAAUACCGCAUACCAUAGACUGUGCCCAGAUUGGAUUAGCUAGUAGGUGGGGUAACGGCUCACCUAGGCGACGAUCCCUCGCUGGUCCGAGAGGAGGACCAGCCACACGGGAACUGAGCGCCGGUCCAGAAUCCUACGGGAGGCAGAAGUGGGGAAUAUUGCACAAUGGGCGCAAGCCUGAUGCAGCCAUGCCGCGUGUAUGACGAAGGCCUUCGGGUUGUAAAGUACUUUCAGCGGGGCGGCGUUACCCGCAGAAGAAGCACCGGCUAACUCCGUGCCAGCAGCCGCGGUAAUUC